ensembl:lncRNA
GCCCUUCCUAUGUUACAUUCACUUCUGGUAUCCUCUGUGCUAUUUAGCUAACAAUAACAAGAGUCAUUUAGCAGGCAGAUUCACAGGGACGCCAGCCAAAAUGUUCUCCACAGAGCAUUCUCCUUUCACUCGUACUUAGGACCCCACUCUCGAAGGUCUUGCCCCGACACGCGGCACAAAACCUCAUUGUAGUACCCAGAGAUAAGGACGCCCAAUAUGGUCUGCAGUCUCUCCCCAGAGGCGCCAGCCAUAUCUCCUUCAUCUCCUCUCCACCACUACCAGCAUUGACUGAAACACCAGCUCUGAGAACAUAAAGAUCUAUGUCAUAGUAACUUAAUAUGCACACACACACAUAUCUGUCCCGUGCCUGCCCUGUCUCACCGUGGAUUAGCGCUGGUUUGUCUUCUGUGAGUGAGAGGCUGCUUAAAGUGGAGACAGUGUUCUGUCUCGGCUGCUCUCUUCUCAUGCGUGACCCUCAUGAGCUGUUUGAAGGUCAAAUGGCAGCUGAGCUUGAAGCACAGUAUCUGCUGGAGGAGGAAAGACUAAUACUCAUGGAAGUGAAAGCUGUAGUCAGUUUCUGGGAGCAAGUAUAUGCAGCAUGAAACCGGAGACAAAGACUGCAAACCUGACUGAAGAAGUUGAGAGACACUCAGCACAUGGCACACUUCAACUCAAGAUGUUGGGAGCUGUCAAAGCACCACUAUCUUUAGCAUGACGAUCUCACCCUUCUGCACAGAGUCUGCACAUGUGUGGAUCUCUUGGAGAGCUCUGUGCUCCUCUCUUCUCUGCUCUUUUCAUCUCCUUUGCCUCCUUUCAUUUCGAGCACGCCUCAUGUUGGGCUUUGUUUGCCAGCCAACACGGUGAGGUUCACACCCAGGGAGGUGGCAGAGGAAGGGGAACAGCAGGCAGGAGCCCUUUUUAAACAUGGCACUUGCGGGUGUACAGCGGCCCACCUGUGUGGAAACAUCGGGAGGCGUUGGCCCGGGUCAAAACUGAAAAUGAAGAUGAAAGCAGAGCAUUGGGAAGCCUGUUCACU